rnacentral:rRNA from 1 species
CUAAAAUGUGUAUAGAAUGUUGAAUUUGGGAAAUAUACAACUUUCAGCAACGGAUCUCUUGGCUCUUGCAUCGAUGAAGAACGCAGCGAAAUGCGAUAAGUAAUGUGAAUUGCAGAAUUCAGUGAAUCAUCGAAUCUUUGAACGCAUCUUGCGCUCCU